GGCGAAGGCGGCUCUCUAGAAUGCAACUGACACUGAGGCACGAAAGCUGGGGGAGCAAACAGGANNAGAUACCCUGGUAGUCCCAGCCUUNNNNGGUGUGCACUUGGUGUGGGAGGAAUUAACCCCUCCCGUGCCGGAGCUAACGCGUUAAGUGCACCGCCUGGGGAGUACGGCCGCAAGGCUAAAACUCAAAGAAAUUGACGGGGGCCCGCACAAGCGGAGGAGCAUGUGGCUUAAUUCGAUGCAACGCGAAGAACCUUACCUGGGCUUGACAUGCAGCUGCAGGCCGGAUGAAAGUUCGGCGGCCUUCGAGGGUGCUGCACAGGUGCUGCAUGGCUGUCGUCAGUUCGUGCCGUGAGGUGUUUGGUUAAGUCCAGCAACGAACGCAACCCUUGUGUUUAGUUGCCACCCCCGAUGAUAAGUCGGGGAGCACUCUAGACAGACUGCCCGUGUAAGCGGGAGGAAGGUGGGGAUGACGUCAAGUCAGUAUGGCCCUUACGCCCAGGGCUGCACACGUGCUACAAUCGGAGGUACAGAGGGAGGCAAGACCGCGAGGUGGCGCAAAUCCCCAAAAACCUCCGCCAGUUCAGAUUGAAGUCUGCAACUCGACUUCAUGAAGCCGGAUUCGCUAGUAAUGGCGCAUCAGCUACGGCGCCGUGAAUACGUUCCCGGGCCUUGUACACACCGCCCGUCACAUCAUGAAAGCCGUCUGCACCCGAAGUCACUGUUCUAACCUGCAAAGGAAGUA
rnacentral:rRNA from 1 species